AAUUGUCUUUCAGCCUCACCUACCCAUUUACUAAGUACAUCUGCGCCCUUACGCAUGUAAAAACUAACCUUCUGACCAGCUUUUGAAGCAGCAGAAGCUAAUGCCCUGGCAAUCAAUGUUUUGCCAGUGCCAGGAGGACCACAUAACAAAACUCCCCUUGGUGGGGUGAUGUGAUAGCUGGCAAAGAAAUCCGGAUAUAGCAAGGGAAAGAAAACCAUCUCCUUCAAAGCAUCAAUGUAUUCUGAAAGCCCACCUAUCUCAUCAAAACUUACACUCUCAUCAACUUGUAAAGGUUGGAUAUCUGCCCCUCCCUUAGAGCUUGGCCCAGCAGUUUGGAUCCCAGAAGUUAAUGUAGGAAUUGUAUC
rnacentral:misc_RNA from 1 species